GUCUGGAUUAGCUCAGUUGGCAGAGCAUGAGACUCUUAAUCUCGGGGUCAUGGGUUCGAGCCCCAGUUGGGCA